rnacentral:lncRNA from 1 species
GUGGCGUACAAGAUCGUAUUAAUGAAUUUACUCUGGUCACAUUGCAGUAUUUCAUUCUGAUCCUGUUGUCUGUAUAAGAUUAUACCGGAACACUUACCAUUUAAAUCCUGAAUUUCUAUUUAUGCGUUACCUUUGACUUAUAAUUCCCUUUUCUCCAUGUCUGACUGCUAACCAUUUCUUAGACCUUAUUAAAAUGUUAAGAGGUAAUUUUAAAAUCCUACUUGUGUUGUAUAUAUCAAUAAAGAGAAAGAAGGUAUUUUUUGAGAGACGGCUACAUACAGAUAUAUGAAAGUGAUCAAACAAAGUGCUUUUGUCAUGGUACUUCAAUCCUAUACAGAGGUAGGAGUUAUUUCCUUAGUGACCAUAUUGCUAGCUGAUGUUUAAUAUGAAGUGAUAUAAGGAGCGGUGUAGAAUCACGAUUAUCCUGCUAUCCAUGCCUUCAGAUAGAGUAAAUAUAAGUAAUGAUGCUGUAUAGCUAGGUGGACCUUAAAAGUUUCAUUAAAAGACCUAUAUAGUAAUGUGGAAGAUUUGCCGGCUCUGUUAUCCAGUGCAUUGGAACCUUGUUCGAUCUCCUAAACUCUUAAUGGUGAUCACCAGGAACGUUCACCACACCAUGCCCAUUUUCAUUUUUUUAUUGCAUGUGUUAGAAUAUUCUCUUUGUUUUGAUAAAUUCCUCUAUUUGUGGCUGCACAGACACUGCUCGUCCUUAUUAUCAGUGGCAGUCCAGAAUCCUAUAGACAGGUAACCUAUGCUCUUUAGUUCAAGACAUUUGAUUUGCUCAGUGAGAAAGUCACUGGAGUGUUUAGAUCCAAUAAGGUUCCAUUGUACACCUACUGUUUGCUACAGGGGUUUGUAUGGGGUAAAGGUCAUGGCUGGCUUCAAUGCCACAGGGGUUUGUAUGGGGUAAAGGUCACGAAUGGCUUCAAUGCCACAGGGGUUUGUAUGGGGUAAAGGUCACGGAUGGCUUCAAUGCUACAGGGGUUUGUAUGGGGUAAAGGUCACGGAUGGCUUCAAUGCUAUUCAUACCUUCUAUUGUAUGUAGCCCAUAAAAUCAUCACACUACUACAAAAGCAAAUUUAAAUGUCACUACCAACACAAGAUGUAUAGUGAAACCUGUCUAAUCUGACCCCCAAGUUUCCAACAUCCUGUGUAAACUGACAUGAUUUCUUAUGAAAACUAACUAAUAAAACUUGUGCAUUAAGCUAUCCUGUCUAGUCUGACCAAUAUAUGUUGUCCCACAGUAUCUUAUAAGACAGGUGUCACUAUAUACUUUAGUGGGUAAUGUUUAACAUUCUUCCUAAGAGUGGAAAAAUAGCCAUGAACAUGAAACAAAAAUUAAUAUAAUUCUCUGUUAAAAUUAUUUCAUAUGGAAAUCCUACAAAGUGACUGUAAAUAUCACAUUUAAAUUUUAAGAUGCCUUUAUAAAAAUGACCAUAUCUGCUAAUAAGGUUUACAAUUGUUAUUUGUGAUAUGACACGUUUUAAGAUGGGUAUUAAAUAUGUUUUUUAUGAUGCCUGAUAAUGUUAAAGUAUUUAUGAGAUGAAGACAAUUUGGGAGAAUUAAUUACUUGAGUUCCAUGUUUGAAAUAUUUAAAGGGGAAUAUAAUUUUAGGAUAAAUACCAUACAGUUUGAUAUGGUUUUCAGUGUUAUAGAUGGGUUCCUGUGGUGUUGUGUGUUGUAUUAAUAUUGGUAGUAGAAAGAUGACAUUUGAUGGUUAUUUUUCCUGUGUCAAACCCUUUUUUCCUGAUAAAUAUCUCCAUUUAAAUCGAAUUCAGUAAAGGAAACAACUGAUUAUUGCUUUCUGUGAAUUGACAGUACUUACUAAUACACAGCAGUUUUUACUUGAUGUUUAUAUUUAACUGAUCUUGUAUCCAAACGUAGGAAAUUCCUGGUAUGGUUCACACUCCAUAAAAUGAUUAAGGUACCCAAUACAGUGUUCGAAGUUCCUGUUUUUUUUCUACAGUGGCCUCUACUACAAUUGAAAAUAGAAAUCAAACUUACUUGGUCAUAACAGGGCUGGCAAUCAUCCACCAAAAUAAAAUCAUUCUUCAUUGCUAUUUAUGAUAAUUCCAAAAAUAAUUCCAAAAAGAAGUUCAGAUGUAAAUUGCAUUUCAUAUAGGUUAAAUGUGGGAAUUGAAAUAUUAAUUUUUCUUUUAAAUUAUGAAUUGUAAUCUGUUUUCCCUGUAGACCUGAAUCCUGAGUUUGUGUUGUCGAUAAAGAUUGGGAACAGCCAACAGUACUGUUUUUGGAAACAAAUGAGACGAUUCAUGACGACAUGAUUCCACUGAGAAUAUUUACGAGGUUCCUACAGCUUUACAUCAUAUCCAAGGCAGAUUUUUACGUAAUUGGAAGGUUUAUAGAAUAUGUUAAUGAUAGAAGUUAUUUUUUGGCGAAGUGAUACUUUGAAAGCGAGGACUGGUACAACACGUGUGACGAGUAAUCUCGUAGCUGGUCAUCACCCUCCACUCCUAGCACAAUGCUGUAUUGUGUGGUGAAACUCAACCAUAGAUUAAGAUACACAGGUUAAACUAUUUUCUCUGGAUUCUAGGGAGUGUUUUUUUUCAGAUGAUCAAAACCAGAAUGUUUAUAACAUUGUUAGUGUAGCAAAUUUUACUUCUCAUCAAACAUUUUUUGGAAUAGACAGUGACCUCCCCAAGGAUAAAGAGGUCCCUCAGUACUUCGGUGUUGUAUAUACGUGUACACUCUAUGCCAGAACUUUGUUUUUUAUAUGAAACACUUUAUCCCAAAAAAUGUAUUACCUAGGUAUCUUAAUAAAAUUCAACGAUGA